rnacentral:rRNA from 1 species
UACCAGCACCCCGAGUGGUCGGGACGAUUAUUGGGCCUAAAGCAUCCGUAGCCGGUCCUACAAGUCUUCCGUUAAAUCCACCUACUCAACAGAUGGGCUGCGGAAGAUACUAUAGGGCUAGGAGGCGGGAGAGGCAAGCGGUACUCAGUGGGUAGGGGUAAAAUCCUCUGAUCCAUUGAAGACCACCAGUGGCGAAGGCGGCUUGCCAGAACGCGCUCGACGGUGAGGGAUGAAAGCUGGGGGAGCAAACCGGG